rnacentral:tRNA from 1 species
GGCCCUAUGGUCUAGUGGUAUGAUUCUUGCUUUGGGUUCCAUCCAAUGUGCAAGAGGCCCCGCGUUCGAGUCGCGGUGGGGCCC